UUUGCCUUCGGUGGCAAAAAUGUGAGGAACUUGGCAAACUUCCCAAGAAGUCUAUAGUACAUACUGUAAUUAUAGGAAAGCAAUCCCCGCCAGACUCGUGAAGUGAAAGUGAGCGGUUCUCACUCAGGGACUCUGCCGUACAUAGAAAAAGACUAGCAUGAGAAAGAAAAGAGCCGAUUCUAUCAUAACUCACUGUGUAGUCAAGAAUGACCUUAACUGGUCUUUCGGCCUUCACCUCCUAAGUACUGGGAUUAUAGCUGAAUAUCAGAAUGCAGUGGUGGUAAAUGGAUGUAGAAGACCUUCCAGUGCCCUGCAUGGAACCACCUGAGACCUGGGGACUGAACACUGUGGAUCCCAUCCAAUGAGACCCAGCCGGCCCAGAGACUGCCGGCGUUCUAGUCCCUUUCUCUGCCCAUGGGACAGGUGAGGUAAGCAUGGGCUUGUUUCUGUCCGCCUUCCAGUGCACUGUUUGGAGCAAGCUGAGGCCUGGGGACUGUGCAUUGCAGAUCCCAUUCCAAUGAGGUUCAGCCCACCCUGAGACUGCCAAUGCCUGGGUACUAGGACCAUCUCCAUCCACAGGAAGAGGAAAGACACCAGAUUAUUGGACCUGCUUGCACCCACCGAAAGUGAAUAUUGGUCCCAUA